rnacentral:rRNA from 1 species
AAUGAACGCUGGCGGCGUGCCUAACACAUGCAAGUCGAGCGGUAAGGCCCCUUCGGGGGUACACGAGCGGCGAACGGGUGAGUAACGCGUGGGUAACCUACCCAGAAGUGGGGGAUAGCCCCGGGAAACCGGGGGUAAUACCGCAUGCGUCGCAUCUGACGCAAGUCGGAUGUGGCAAAGGCGGGGAUCUUCGGACCUGUCGCUUCUGGAUGGGCCCGCGUCCGAUUAGCUUGUUGGUGAGGUAAUGGCUCACCAAGGCAUCGAUCGGUAGCCGGCCUGAGAGGGUGAACGGCCACAUUGGGACUGAGACACGGCCCAGACUCCUACGGGAGGCAGCAGUGGGGAAUUUUGGGCAAUGGGCGCAAGCCUGACCCAGCGACGCCGCGUGGAGGAUGAAGGCCUUCGGGUUGUAAACUCCUGUCAGGUGGGAAGAAAUGCCCGUCGGUGAAUAGCCGACGGGAGUUGACGGUACCACCAAAGGAAGCCCCGGCUAACUCCGUG